AGUCGCCGCGGUAAUACGGAGGGGGCUAGCGUUGUUCGGAAUUACUGGGCGUAAAGCGCACGUAGGCGGCUUUGUAAGUUAGAGGUGAAAGCCCGGAGCUCAACUCCGGAAUUGCCUUUAAGACUGCCGAGCUAGCAGGUGAGAGAGGUAAGUGGAAUUCCGAGUGUAGAGGUGAAAUUCGUAGAUAUUCGGAAGAACACCAGUGGCGAAGGCGGCUUACUGGCUCAUACUGGGCGCUGAGGUGCGAAAGCGUGGGGAGCAAACAGGAUUAGAUACCCGCGUAGUCCCUGUCUCUUAUACA
rnacentral:rRNA from 1 species